rnacentral:rRNA from 1 species
UACGUAGGGGACGAGCGUUGUCCGGAAUUACUGGGCGUAAAGGGCGCGCAGGCGGUAUAUCAAGUCAGCUGUCAAAGACUGGGGCUCAACCCUGGUAUGCGGUUGAAACUGAUAUGCUGGAGUGCUGUAGAGGCAAGUGGAAUUCCCAGUGUAGCGGUGAAAUGCGUAGAUAUUGGGAAGAACACCGGUGGCGAAGGCGACUUGCUGGGCAGCAACUGACGCUGAGGCGCGAAAGCCAGGGGAGCAGACGGGAUUA